GAAUCCAUCCGUCGGUCGGGCUUCACGGUCCGCACUGGUGUGAUGGAUUCCUACCUUCUGAAUAACCAGCAUGUCAUUAAUUUGGUGCGCCGGGGAAGCAGGACUGUUACCUUGAAAAAAUUAGAGUGCUUAAAGCAGGCUAUCGCCUGAAUACAUUAGCAUGGAAUAAUGAAAUAGGACGGACUGAUUCUAUUUCGUUGGUUUCUAGGAUCACCGUA
rnacentral:rRNA from 1 species